GACGGGUGAGUAAUGCCUAGGAAAUUGCCCUGAUGUGGGGGAUAACCAUUGGAAACGAUGGCUAAUACCGCAUGAUGCCUACGGGCCAAAGAGGGGGACCUUCGGGCCUCUCGCGUCAGGAUAUGCCUAGGUGGGAUUAGCUAGUUGGUGAGGUAAGGGCUCACCAAGGCGACGAUCCCUAGCUGGUCUGAGAGGAUGAUCAGCCACACUGGAACUGAGACACGGUCCAGACUCCUACGGGAGGCAGCAGUGGGGAAUAUUGCACAAUGGGCGCAAGCCUGAUGCAGCCAUGCCGCGUGUGUGAAGAAGGCCUUCGGGUUGUAAAGCACUUUCAGUCGUGAGGAAGGUAGUGUAGUUAAUAGCUGCAUUAUUUGACGUUAGCGACAGAAGAAGCACCGGCUAACUCCGUGCCAGCAGCCGCGGUAAUACGGAGGGUGCGAGCGUUAAUCGGAAUUACUGGGCGUAAAGCGCAUGCAGGUGGUUUGUUAAGUCAGAUGUGAAAGCCCGGGGCUCAACCUCGGAAUUGCAUUUGAAACUGGCAGACUAGAGUA
rnacentral:rRNA from 1 species